AUACUACCCAGUGACCGAUAGUGUAUAGUACUGUGAAGGAAAGGUGAAAAGCACCCCGGGAGGGGAGUGAAAAAGAACCUGAAACCCUGUGCCUACAAGCACCUAGAGCGCGUCAAUGCGUGAUAGGGUACUUUUUGUAGAACGGUCCGGCGAGCGAUUGUAUGCAGCAAGGUUAAGGACUUAAGGUCUGGAGCCGAAGCGAAAGCGAGUUUGAAAAGGGCGUUAAGUUGCAUAUAAUGGGCCCGAAACCGGGUGACCUACCCAUGGUCAGGUUGAAGUGGAAGUAAAAUUCCAUGGAGGACCGAACCGACCUCCGUUGAAAAGGCGGCGGAUGAACUGUGGGUAGCGGAGAAAUUCCAAUCGAACCCGGAGAUAGCUGGUUCUCCCCGAAAUAGUUUUAGGACUAGCCUCAAGUUAGAUACCUGGAGGUAAAGCACUGAAUAGCCUAGCGGCCGAGAGGUUAGCGAAGCUUAUCAAACUCAGAAUGCCAGAGUAUUGAUGCUUGGGAGUCAGACAGUGUCAGAUAAAUGUCAUUGUCAAAAGGGAAACAGCCCAGAUCUACAGCUAAGGUCCCAAAGUCAGGUUAAGUGGAAAACGAUGUGAAGAUACGCAGACAACCAGGAUGUUGGCUCAGAAGCAGCCACUCAUUCAAAGAGUGCGUAAUAGCUCACUGGUCGAGCGUCUUUGCGCGGAGAAUUUAACGGGGCUAAACCUGACACCGAAGCUUAGGCAAUCCAGUAAUGGAUUGGGUAGGGGAGCGUUGUAUACGCGGAGAAACAGUAGCGUAAGCGGCUGUGGAGUGUAUAGAAGUGAGAAUGCCGGAAUGAGUAGCGCGAAUGCAGUGAGAAUCUGCAUGGCCGAAAGCCUCAGGUUUUUGGAGGAAGGUUCGUCCGCUCCAAGUUAGUCGGGAGCUAAGGUGAGGCCGGAAGGCGUAGCCGAUGCACAGACGGUAGAGAUUCCGUCACCACCAAAAGAGUUAAGCACAGGGACACAUUUGAAGUCUCAGAGCCGGGUGUUGGUUCCGGUAGAGAUCGAGGGAAAUUAGUACCGAAGUCUGAGAUGGAAGAUGGCGAGAAAAGCUGUGUGUAUUUCUGAGGUGCCCGUACCGCAAACCGACACAGGUAGGUAGGAAGAAGAUUCUAAGGCCAACGGGAGAAGGGUUGUUAAGGAACUCGGCAAAUUGACCCCGUAACUUCGGGAGAAGGGGUGCUCCAGAGAUGGAGCCGCAGAGAAUCGGCCCAAGCAACUGUUUACCAAAAACACAGGUUUGUGCUAAAUCGAAAGAUGACGUAUACGAGCUGACGCCUGCCCGGUGCUGGAAGGUUAAGAGGAGAUGUGCAAGCAUUGAAUCGAAGCCCCAGUGAACGGCGGCCGUAACUAUAACGGUCCUAAGGUAGCGAAAUUCCUUGUCAGGUAAGUUCUGACCCGCAUGAAAGGCGUAAUGAUUUGGGCACUGUCUCAACAGCCCGCCCGGCGAAAUUGUAGUACCGGUGAAGAUGCCGGUUACCCGCGACAAGACGGAAAGACCCCAUGGAGCUUUACUGUAGCCUAAUAUUGGGUUUCGAUGUUGCAUGCACAGGAUAGAUGGGACACUGGGAAACAAUCGCUUUGGCGGUUGCGGAGUGGCCGUUGGGAUACCAUCCUUGCGAUAUUGGAAUUCUAACCUGCGGCUCUGAAUCGAGUCGGGGGACAUUGUUAGGUGGGCAGUUUGACUGGGGCGGUCGCCUCCUAAAAAGUAACGGAGGCGUUCAAAGGUUCGCUCAGCUUGAACGGAAAUCAAGCAAAAGAGUGCAAACGCAGAAGCGAGCCUAACUGCGAGACUGACGGGUCGAGCAGUAACGAAAGUUGGAGUUAGUGAUCCGG
rnacentral:rRNA from 1 species